AUUUUGGACAUCUCAAAAUAUGGUCUUUUUUGUGUGAUUUAUGGUCCUAUUAUGCUCUCAUAUGUAUCAUCAGACUAUAAUAAGACCAUUUAAAGCAUUUUUAGGCAAUUUAAAAUUUGACCUUUUUUGACAGAAAUCGACAUGCUAUAGUAUGACUUUUUCAAAUUUUGGACAUCACAAAUGAUGGUGUUUUUCUGCUAUUUUCGGAAAAGCCACCCUACUACAUGUAUCAGUAGACUAUAAUAAGAACAUUUUGAAGGUUUUGGACCCUUUAAAAAAUGUAUGAUAAAUAUUGACAAAGAUUGAAUUUUGAGUCUGUGCUGCUUGUGAGAAACUUAAUCAUACACCUGUAAAAUAUAGAUAAUGCUACUAUUAAUUCAGCUCCAUCAAAUUGGCACUUAUUGAUACAUACUUCAAAUGUAGGUGAUUUAGAGUAUUAUUUAGCCUAUUUAGCACCAUAUAACCGUCAUAAUAUUUCACGACAUUUAUUUAUUCACUAAGAUAUCUGCAUCUAUUUGCCUUGGGCUAUCCAAGCAAACACAAUUCAAUCUUGUCAAUUGUCAAUAUUUCAACACGGACUAGUCCCUCCCACUCUCCCACCCGGAGAGAGAGGACUCUUACCUGACUGCUGGUUUUCAUCUCCAUGCUGUUUCUUUCUCCUGUCCUCAUUCCCAGAGGGAUAACUCCGCUUCACCUUGUUAUUGAUCACUGCAGUGGGAAUGUGCCGUGGUAGUGUGUGUGUUGGGUGAAGCGGUAGUGAUCAGCUGAUGUCUCUCUCUGACCACCAGCAGCCUGUCAAGCUGUUUGGAGGCUCAGAAACAACCAACCGAGCGGUUCAUUCAUCAAUAAGACAUAGAGGUGAAAGUUGUUCCUGUUGUUCUUUGUCUCUUGUGUUGAUUGAAGCCUUCAAUGACUCUGAUCAGGACAUUAAGAGGAUGUUUUGGGGCAGAUUGUCUCUUUAAAAGCAGCUGAAGGAGACUCAGGUGAGCUCCGUCAUUAGAAACUGGAUCAAAGCUCUUCUCCACCAGGCGGCGCCACUCUGAGUCUCAGAGACCAGAAGAUCCUGAUCUGGAUCAUCAUGAACCUGCUUUGAGAUGCUGUGAUGUCAUCAGUCCUCCAUCUUGGACUGGAACAAGGACGUGCAGCUCCAGCCUGACGUUGGUCUCGUCCUCGGUGAGGAUCUCGAUGCGGUUGACGUGGCUGAAGUCGGCCAGCAGAGCCACCAGGUUGGUCCUGAUGUUGAUGACGUGACUGAUGCCGUAGCGAGGUCCCACCAGCAGCAUCACCUCCGUCUGCUUCUCCCCCUGCUGCACAAACACAAGUACAGUCAUUAAGAUAUACUGAGCAUGUUUUUAUUUACAGUAAUAACUUUAUUUAUAUAACAGACGAGCUGAGAAAACCAGUUGAAAGAGCCAUUUAUUUAUGUUUCUAGAGCAUUUUUAAAUGUGAAUUUUCUUUCUACAAUUAAAAAACUAAUUUAAAUUAACAUGCAAAUAGACUGUUUUAGACUGUGAGACAA